ACCCAAGUGGAAACCUCCCCUUAAAGGAAGCAUCCGCCUGUUUCUUAUAACUAGGCCUAGGGUCUUGAUUUCGAUGUAUAUAAUGAAGAAUGGUACCCUGAUCAUCAUACCACAAAAAUCGAAUGAAUCAUUUUUUUUUUUUUUUUUUAAUAAUUUUGAAAUCGACCUCCUACGUCAGUUAUGCACCGUUCUUCUUGUCCUUCUCACACAAAAUACUUUAUAACCUUCUUAACAAAGUCUUUAAAGAAUAUUUUUAAUUUUAUUUCAUUUAGUUCCAAAAUAAAAUGAGAAAAUUUGCAUUCUAUAAUGUAUUUUACUGUAUUAUGCAAUAAAGAGAUUAAAUUGAUAGAUUUUUUUACCACUUUGUUCUAUAACAUGUCUAGCUCCUAACUCAAAAGUUGUAUAGCAGUCGCGCUAAAACUAGAGGAGAUACGUUUUAUGGGUGUACUACUCUAGUUUUGAGAAAACGGCGAUUAAAGGUUUUUUCCAUUUUCGUCUCAUACUGCAAUCAAAAACAGUAUAAUGUCCCAGACUUGUUAUUGUUUGAUUCCUCAGGGUUGAUUAAUCACAAAUCAAUGCAUUUAUCUAAUGAUGGGACUCCUGGCUCUCCCUUUCAAAGGUAUUAACCACUCUGAGCCGAAGUAUCGCGACGCGCCAAGUCAUUAUAAUUGUUGCCAGGUUUGAUCUUCCAAACUCGCCUGGUUUAUACUCAUUGCUUAGUGUCAUCUGCUUUUCUUUUUCUUUUGUCAUUGAUUGGAGUGGUAGUUCUUCUUUGCUUUCCGCGUUUCAAUCCUUUUCUAUAUUGAUGUUUGUUCCCAACAUGCUUGUAAGUGGAUGACACUUGUCAUGGCCAAAACUGUGUUCUAUCACUGUCACUUGGGUAGCAAUUUCACUCUAAAGUGUCCUGCAUAUUUGACUUCCAUGCAUUUCAACCAUACUUUUGAAUGAAACGAUUGAUUUGGUGGUUGUGGUGGUGGUGAGGGAUCUUGUAGUGGGGGAGUCGCUUGACCUUGAACUUGAGUGUUGGCGUGUAGCAUUUGUUUUCCUUGUAUGAGCUGCCACUCUGCGGUUUUUCUUUACAUGCCGUUUCCGCCUUGACCUGAUGUCAGUGAAAGGCUUCAUGGCAAAAGUAACUGCUCUAAUGCCUUACCAAGAGGUCAUGAAGGAAGAUCGCAAUGUAAAAAAAGCAGUAUUCCCUGAGGCACCAGUUCAACUGAGUGGGAAUCAGGAAAGCCGUGGUGGAUCGGGGGAAAGUUGCCAGAUGCACGAAAAUAUAUUAGUAUGUCAUUAUUUUGUCAUAUUUAUCGAAAAUAAUGGAGCAAAACGAUUCCGGUCACCCGCACUAGAACCGGCUCGUCACACCCCGUUAUUAGGCAUUUAAACUCAGUCUCGGUGGGACAUUAAAAUUCGCUGGGGAAAGAAAUAAAAACUGCCAUUUGAUAGCUUAUGCAUAGACGAUCGUGCCAGAACAUAUAACUUAUUUUCGAUAUUUAUCAAACAAUUUCUAAAAAAUAGGGUGUUGGAUCGUCCCCUUAAGUCGCCGUGAGCGCGCACUCACUGUCCUGGCCCCGAAGUGAGUAUUUGUUGCAACACGUUACCGCCGUGUGGUUGUCAGAGGUGGGCGCGGUACUGAAAAAUCAGUAGUGCGGUUGCGGUAGUGCGGUACUUUUUCCGGAGUAGUGCGGUUGCGGUAGUGCGGUACCAUUUUUUUUCUUUUCCAGUGCGGUACGCGAUGUGCGGUACUGCGGUAGCGGUAGUCAAAAUAAAAAAUACUUCAGUGCCUAUCCUGGCUAUCCAAACAAAGGAAACAUGUUUAAAAUAGUACAAUGAAAAAUUGGCCGGCACCACGGACGGGUCCAGGAUUGAAAUGGCCGGCACCGCGCGGGUUAAAAAAGACUCGCAGUGUAGUAGUUUAGUCUGUCUAUUUAGUAUUUAAUUUUGAACAAUAACUGAAAAGUCAGAAUGAUUGAAUCACUGAUUCUGAUGACUGAUACCAAUUGACUGAUUGAGUCCGAUUCACUGUAAAAAAAAAAUAAUAAUAAUAAUUAUGUGAGCAGUAGUGCAGUCUUCGAUAGUUUUCAAAGUACCGCAAAAAAGUACCGCAUGAUUUUUAGUGCGGUCCGCGGUAGUGCGGCAAUUUCAGAAAUAUUGCGGUAGCGCCGUAGUGCGGUACUCUUUUUGUGAUGCGGUACUACCGCACUAAGUACCGCACUUGCCCAUCUCUGGUGGUUGUUACAGUAUUCCCAUCGGUACUUGUUUUAGUCGCUAGCUUGUUUGCUGCACUGGUGAUUUGCUAUUUAUGUGGAGACAGUCUGUUUUGCACUGUGUUCGGAUCUUUGUGGGUUCGUGCUGUCCCGGGAGAGUGUCCUUCCGGUUGUUUUCUAUUGUGGCUUUGAUUGCCUGUUUGUCUGAUUUAAUCUUUCCAGUAGCUCUUGUCAGGAUGUCCAGCUUCGAACAGCUUAAGCUUCCUCGGUGCCGGUAUCGCCUGUUCCCGUUUCCUCGGCAGCUUCAUCCUGCUUUGCUGGACCACUUGUUCACACGAUACUGGAGUUUGCUCCUGCGAGCAGCAGCGCACCUUGCGGCCAGUCUCGCACUAGCUAGUGUUUACAAACACCACCUGUGACCACCAGGUCCACGGCUGAUUUUUGGCGCAAGUUUUGUUUUUUGACGUGUCUGAUGUAAUUUUAGGCCUCCUAUCAAUUGUGACCUGUGUUCAUGAAUAAGCCAGGCAUAUGUUGGUGGGAUAUUGAGUACUGAAAUAUAAUAUAUUAUGAUCAUUUUCCAUCCAGCAAACGCUAUCGUUCUGGUUGGUUAUAUUUAUGUAGAGUAAAAAAAAAACAUGGGCUAUAGUAUAUUCGGUGUUUUUGGACCGUGCAGGGAGUUGUUGGCUCCUUUAUGUGGUGCAUUUGGCCUUCUUGGCUCAUUUUUGGGUUGCCUUUGGCCUUUUUCUGACAUCUAUGCUCUUCUAUAAACUCGCACAGGGAUUUCACUACACUUUUGGGCCACACCAACUCGUCAGACAUUAUAAUGACUGUAAUUUUGAUGUGAGAAGGCCACAACAGGAGAAAGAUCACCGUCGUCACGGAGCCACGGGAAGGCGGUCACUUCCAUCCACCAAGGGUGCCGGUAUCCAUUUUCCAUUCAAAUUUGGGCCGCAACAUAAGGAAACUUUGCCUGUGUGAACCGCACUUUAGAAAGGAAAGAAUGGAAGAGGCAAGAGGAAACUGAAGAACAGAAGAGGCAAGAGGAGUUUGAAGAACAGAAGAGGAAAGAAGAAAGGGAGUUCGAGUUAGCGAAGCUUCAGGCAGAGAAAGAACUUGAAAUGGCUCGGAUCGCCGCUUCGAGUAAGUCUGCUCCUCCUUGUUCUGACGGUGAGUGUGUUGACAGACCUCGUUUACCGGCUUAUAAGGAUGGAGAUGACUUUGCUUCUUAUCUUUGUAGAUUCGAGAGGAUAGCUGAACUUUUAAAGGUUGAUAAGAACGCAUAUGCUGUAAGAUUAGGAGCCCUAUUGUCUGGUAAAGCUGCAACCAUUUAUACUUCACUUUCUCCUGAGAUUGUUGCUGACUAUCUGAAGAAGUCCCUGCUGAAGAGCUUUUGUAAGACUCCCAACAGCUUUAGAGUGGACUUCCGGUUGAGUAAGAUUCAGCCAGGAGAAACUUACGAACAGUUCAGCAUUCACCUUGGCCGCUCCUUUGAACAGUGGUUAGAGGCUUGUAAUAUUGACCUCAUUUUCGUUUCUCUCAUGGAUUUCAUGGUGCUGGAUCAAUUUAUCUCCUCCCUUCUCCCAGACCUUUGCACCUUUAUAAAGGAACGAGGAGUGCGUAAGCUGGCGGCCGCCAUACAGUUAGCCGACGACUGGUCAUCGGCGUGCCACUCGUAUCCCAUGUCUUCUCAGUCGCAAAAUAAGGUAGUUGCCAACAUUCUCCUUUCUUUAAUCAGUCUUAUAACCAUCUGAAUCUUCUGGCCUUGACACAGUGGCUCGUCACUUAAGUGAUUUCAUAUCUCUCUGUGCCCUCAUUGAGAUUUCCUCCUCCUUAACACUCAUGAUUAUCACACUCUUCUGCUAAUUCUCAAACCUAGUUUUCCUUAUUUCUCAUUACCUGGACAACCUCACACUCCAUCUCCACUUUUCUUUCCCUUUCUUGUUGUUCCAGGAUUUCUUUGAAACUUCCUUUUCCUUUUCUUUUUCCCAUACAUUUAUUUAUACAUAAACUAAUUUCUUAAUCUUAUUUUACAUGUCAACUACACUGUCAAUAUUUACCUUUACCCUUUUCAAUAUUUCCUCUUUGAUCAUUGCUUUUAUCUUGUCUUCAAUGUUAUCAUCACUGGCAUUACCCUUUUUCAGUUUUUAGUUUUCCUUCCUUAGUUUUCUGACUUCUUCCCCCUUGGCAACUGGCUCCUUCUUCAGAUCAUGCACAAUGUCAACAAAGUUUCUCAAGUUCUCCCUCAAACCCCUUACCUCCUUCCUAGAGACAUUGAUUUAUUUCUACAAUCAUGUGAUGGUUGUCCACAUUCCCAGGGCUGUGAUUUGGGCCGGCGAAAAUCCAGGAAAGGCAUCAGCCUCGCUCUCCCUAUCUAACGGCAUCUUACCCAGGUGGGUCCGGCUACAGGAGUACUUACAUUUCCAUCGGCAACUUUUCUUCGAUUUCUGUGUUCACAUUAUCCCUUUGUGUGUGUGUGUGUGUUUGUGUUUACCUAUUUGUGGUUUACAGAUCCUGAGCUAAGCUCGGAUAGUCAUGUCUCCUUGUCUAUAUUUGUCCAACUCCUUCAUGAUGAACACUCCUCGGUUUUACAAUUUCCUCCUUUAGACCAUUCCACUCAUUUACACUUCUGUAUGGGAAACUACUUCUUUUUAUCCUUCAGACAUGUUCCCUUUUUCAGCUUCUUACCGUGACCUCUCAGCCCCCUAUGUGAGUAUGUGUUAAAUAUUUCUUAAAACAUGGUCUGGGGAGGGGGGAUAUAUCUAGGGAUUCCUUUCUGUUUAUCACAUUGUGGCAGCAGAGCACAGGUCAAGUAUACUUUGAUUAAAGUUUAAUGUAUAAAGUAAAUAGUUUAUAUCAACUACAGUUAAAUUUUGCAAGGUUAGUUUACCUGCAAAAGUUUGCAUUAAAAGGUACAGAGAAUGCAAUUGCUGAGAUUAAAAAUAAUUCAAUAAUCAAAGGACUUGGGUAGAAUGGUGUGAGCUGUGUGUGUGUGUGUGUAAUUUUACUGAUUUCUAUAUUUCUCGACUAAUCCAGAAGCUCAUGUCCCUAAUCUGAAGGCUUUGUCUUUAAACUCCUCGGCUAUUCACCCUUGUUAGUGCCAAACCAGACCACCCUGGGAGGAUGGACAUAAUCCAAAGUAAUACUGGGCAUAUAUUCACUGCUGGGUGGACAAGUGUAUGUACUUACAGAAUGACCAGUCUGAAGGGAAGGAGGAGCAGCAAGGUGAGCUGCACACUGAUUGCCCGGACCAGGAUUCGAACCAAGGCCUGCAAAUUCUUAUUUAAGGAUGCUAACCACUGAAAUGCACUUAACAGUACAGCUACCACCACAAAAUUACACCCAACUUACUCUGGGGGUUGACAUUAAAGUAUUAUUCCAAAAGUACGUACACCAGUCAAACUGCGAAGGACACCUUUGUGCUAUAUAUAAAAAGCUACUAUUAAAAGACUACCUGAACAAGUUAAACCAGAUGUAAUGUGCAUCCCUGAAACAAAACUAGCAAAAGCUAAAAAAAAUGAUGGGAUAGAGGACUGCAAUUAACGUAUAUAGAAAAGACAGAAUAGGAAAGAGUGGUGGUGGUGUACUGAUAUUGGUAAAAACAGAUUUAAAAGUGAGAACAGGACCAGAAAAUAUGAUAAUUUUAAGUGUUUUCUUACAAUUAAAAUGCAGUGAAAAACUGAAAAUAAUGAUGUAUAUGCCCCUACACACAGCAAGCUAGAGAAGUGAAAUUUAUAACAACCUAUUAGAUGGUACAAAUAAAGAAUUAGAGGAUAUUAUUAAAAAUAGCAAAAAUGUAAUCCUAACAGGAGACUAACUAAAAAUGUCAAAUUUAAAAGAUGGGGAAAGUUUGAAGUGGAAGGUGAAGAAAAUACAGUGGGAGCUAGGUAUUAAAAUUGGCCACAGAAAACCUCAUGACACAGUGGGUAAUGGAAGAGACGAGAUUUAGAGAAGACGAACCAGUAGCGUUGGACUUAAUUUUCACUAAAGGAACAGACUUGUUAAGUGAAGUGCAACACAAGUGCCCACUGGGAAAAAGUGACCAUGAAGUAUUACAAAUAAAAACUGACGAAGAAUGUAGAGACUGGAUUAGAGAACCACAAAGAGAAAAGAAGAAAAUACAAUAGAGCUAGGUAUAAUAAUUUGUGAGCGUUUUUGUAAGAAUAAAUUGGCCAGAUAUGAAAAAGCUGAGAAAAGUACAAGAAAAAUAUGACUACGUACUUCCUUGAAACUUAUAACGAACGUGUAGUAAAGUGGGUACCCUACAUUCUGAUAAAGAAAAGAGGGAAAAAAGAGUGGUUUAAUACAAGAUGUCUGGAAUUAAAGAAAAAGAAAGAUAAAGAAUGGAGAAAAUUACAAAGGAAAUCUGUGAAAUUUUACAAGAAACCUUUCAGUAAGUAUUUACCCAUGAGACAGAAUUUGAAGAGAGAGAUGAGGAGAGAAGUGUCAAAAGAAUGGAAAAGAUAAGUGGAUAAAGAAUAGAUACUGGGCUUAUUGAAAUCAUUAGAUGGUAAGAAGGCAAUGGGUCAAGAUGAAAUAUCAGGCCAAGUACUGAAAAAGUGCAGUGAACACUUAUUAUAGAACUAAUUCAUGACCUUUUAAGUUGUUCAAUUAACCCCUUCACUACGGCCAGGCAAAAACAGCGCCCCGCCCCAUGUCCGAGCUGGGCGAGCGUGCCAAGUUUCAAACGUCGCUACUGAAUAUAACAAGUUUUAAGCCAUGUACUCAACAUAAUCAUCAUGUAUUACAUAUAGAAAUAUGCAAAAUUAAAUGGUGCACAUAAAGAAACAAAUUGAUUGAUAAUUUUCAGAUGUAUGCAUAAAUAUAGAGAAAUUUGCGUUAUGCGUAGAUGACGUGUGUCUGCUGAAUUGUAUUUCCUCAUAUUAGGUGUGAUAUAGAAAUAGAUUUGUGGAGGAAAGUGGAGGAGAGGGAAGGGAGGGACACAGACAUAAGAUCAUGGAAAAUAUCCCAGAUUCACCGACAAUACACACAGAUUUCACGGAGUAUAAGGCUGAAAGGCCAGCCUCCUGGAGGUGGGUCUUGUGUGUGUGUGUGUGUGUGUGUGUGUGUGUGUGUGUGUGUGUGUGUGUGUAUUUACCUACCAUGUGUGCGAGCAGCCUGGGCCCGAGCAGCUGACGGGCGGCUGAUGAUGGUGAUGGUGAUGAUGAGUGUCAGCGGCAUCAGCCAUGGCAUCGGCACAACCCAAACUGCAUUUUCACUGGGGCCCGCGUGUGUGUGGCUGUGCCCAUUGUGGGCCCAGGCUCCUCAAUUUGCCAAUUCUCACUUUCCACAUGUUGUGCAGGACCCCUUUCCUUUCUUCCAUCUCUUUUUCAAAAAGAAGAGAUGGAAGAAAAGAAAUGGGUCCCGUGCAACAUGUAGAAAAUAAGAAUCGGUAAAUUGAGAAUCCCAAACCCACAACAAACACAGCCACACACACACACGGGCCCCAACAAAAACACUGUUCAGGUGGCGCCGAUGCAAAGGCCACAUCACCGACACUCAUCACCACCAUCACCAUCAUCAGCUGCCCGUCAGCUGCUUGGGCCCAGCGAGCAGCCGGGGCCGUCUGCACAUAUGCGCUUGGCCACCCGGAUGGGUGGCCAAGCGCAAAAUGUUGACGGUUUUCAAUUUUCCCCAUAAGUGUAACGUACCUGCCGGCAUACCAACACCGCAGAAGCCAGUUAAAAGCCAACUGGGAGAAUUGGGAAUAAUCCCUUGUACAUGGCCAUGGUUAUUUACCGGAUCCAGUUUCUCCUCAGGCGAAACAAUACCCGUAGAGGUUAAUAUGUCAUAAGUAGAUAAGGGAAGAGAGCGAGAAAGCUUGCUUGGGUUGGCACCCCUGAUAUAAAUCCAGCAGAAUCCCCUGUUUUAUAUAUAUUUAUACAUUAGGACUUAGAAAUUAAGGGAAAAUUAAGUUUAGAAUUAACAUACAAAAAGACAACCUCAAAAAGGCAGAGGAAGGAUAGAUUAAUGUACCAAGCUGAAAGGCGAGAAGGAAAAGUGUUGGAACCUUGAGGUGGCCACGUCACCAGGAGAGGUAGUGAGGCAACCGCUCUGCCUGGCCAGAUUCAUUCUGGACUUAACCUUUCCACACGGCACAGGUGAGGGCACGAGACAAGCUGAAGGCCGGUGUCCAGGGGUUAGGCAAGGCGAGUGGCCCGCCAUCUUGAAGCCGCCCCCAUUGAGAGUCGGGAAUGGACCCAGACGCCAGUGAUGGACAUGAAUUGAGCCAAGGUAAGGGCGACCCAGUCCAGUCCCUGCCGCCCUCGCCACCAGCAGGCUGGUAAUGGGAGUAGAAACGGCUCCGAAACCCCCCUUUAGGCACGGCACAACAACAUAGUGUAGCUCUCAGGCCUCCACCAAGCCAAGGAAACUGUGUACACCAGGUAAGGGGCAUCCGCUUGGUGGACGAGGGACAAACAGUGACCUCACCCCCCUUUAGCUGUAACAGUCUGAUCUUUCUAUCAUACUUACUCUUUUCUUCCUGUUUUUGUUAUGAGUGUUUUUAUCUGUGUAUGCACGCCAAUGCGGGAAGUGAAAUCGGAUUGUCUAGUCAAUCGGGCGGUAGCCCUGUGAUAUCUACCUACAUAUGGUCAUCUCUCGUGUGUAACAUUUAUUGAUAAGAAUAUCAGGAAUUAGAAGAAAGAUUUACCAUUUUGUAUUAACCAAAACAUGCUACCCUUCCAUCGGGAGUGAGGAUUAAAUCAAUAAAUUGUAUUCUGUCUAUGUC